rnacentral:rRNA from 1 species
ACUCCUACGGGAGGCAGCAGUGGGGAAUUUUGCACAAUGGGGGAAACCCUGAUGCAGCGACGCCGCGUGAUUUAGAAGGCCUUCGGGUUGUAAAAAUCUUUUGUAUAGGAAGAAAAUGACAGUACUAUACGAAUAAGGUCCGGCUAAUUACGUGCCAGCAGCCGCGGUAAUACGUAAGGACCGAGCGUUGUCCGGAAUCAUUGGGCGUAAAGGGUACGUAGGCGGGUCAUUAAGUUAGAAGUCAAAGGCUAUAGCUCAACUAUAGUAAGCUUCUAAAACUGGAGACCUUGAGUAAUGGAAGGGAAAGUGGAAUUUCUAGUGUAGCGGUGGAAUGCGCAGAUAUUAGGAGGAAUACCGGUGGCGAAGGCGACUUUCUGGCCAUUAACUGACGCUGAGGUACGAAAGCGUGGGUAGCAAACAGGAUUAGAUACCCUGGUAGCUCGAUG